rnacentral:rRNA from 1 species
GACGAACGCUGGCGGCGUGCUCAACACAUGCAAGUGGAGCGACGAACCAGGGCUUGCCCUGGGGCAGAGCCGCGAACGGGUGAGUAACACGUGGGUAACGUGCCCCAAUGAUCGGGACAACCCGGGGAAACCCGGGCUAAUACCGAAUGUGCUCCCCUCACACCAGUGAGGGGUGGAAAGGAAGCUUCGGCCUCCGCAUUGGGAUCGGCCCGCGGCCCAUUAGCUUGUUGGUGAGGUAACGGCNCACCAAGGCUGCGAUGGGUAGCUGGUCUGAGAGGAUGAUCAGCCACACUGGGACUGAGACACGGCCCAGACUCCUACGGGAGCAGCAGUGGGGAAUAUUGGACAAUGGGCGCAAGCCUGAUCCAGCCAUGCCGCGUGAGUGAUG